UUGUCAUCACCAUAACUCAUAAUCACAGUAGUUGCUUAAACCUUAGAAAAUAAAAUAAAAUUACAAUGUACAAUGCACGUUGAAAUAAAAUCACUUGAAACAAUUUAUAGUUCCAAUUUCAGCCUGUGUUAAUAAGUUUUACAAUAAAGGAUGUUAAAACCGAAAGUUACACGACCAUUAUCAAAAUUUUUUAUUAUGCAUGAUCUUUCUAUACGCAUAGUUGAAUAUCACAGUAAAAAUUAUCAUUCCUAAACUCAACAUCUUCACCGGGACUCGAACCGUGAAGACAGGCGUCGCGAUGUUCGGCGUCGAUUAUCUAAGAUCGUGUCUUGUGGCUUCCCUUGGCUCCCCGACGCCAAAUUCCACAUUUGGCGUCGGGAUCACGAUGACAGACGUCGCGACGCUCGGCGUCGUUUUGCAAGGAUCAUGUCGCACGGCGUCACUGGACUCCUCUUGGCUUCAAUGGGUCGGCGUCCGUUUUCCAUCGUCGUUUUUGAUGGCAUCUCUUCGCUCAUCUCCGCUUUCUACGGCGUUUUGUGUUGGCGUCGGUUUGCGUGCAUUUAGUAUAACGUCCCGAGGUCGCUUGUCUUGAUUUUCAAUUCUAAUUUUCAGUCCUAUCUUUCUAUCAUAAGCCGAAUCAGGAAGUCCCGUGCAGUAAACAGAGGAAGUACAUAGAGCUUUAUCCAAGCUGAUAUCACCGGAAAUCACUGGGAUGGACGGAGUUACGAAGGAAGCUGAAGUUGCCGUGUUUCCUCAAGGAUGUGUGACUACAGAACGUCCCCUGCUUGUGAGAACUACAUUAAGUACCCAGUGUCUGGAACCAGCGUUUACGUCGGCAUGGCAACCUUGCCAUCAACACCGCAAGAACAAAAGCAUCAGCAGAAACCAAAAUUACCAUUACUUCAUUUGAAAUCUUACAGCACCGACCCUGAUGGCAAUUCUCCACCACGUUCGACAACCCGGAAUAAUGUCUCAUGGGCAGAGAACAGCUACGUCCUACAAUUAGACGACACGCAGCAGGAUGAUAUAACGCCUACACAUUAUACCCUGCCAGCUCCCUUCAUCUUCAAGCUCAUGCAAAUGAUCACCUCAGUAGUUUGCAUUGGUCUGUAUUCCGAAGGGCUCAACAGGAUACCGAACAACAUCACAACGCAACUGUUCCCCUACAUCGUCUGUUCCAUAUACCUCAUCAUCACACCCGUCAUAGCGUUCAGCUACGUCACGGGACACAGAAUGCCUGAACUUAUAGUCCGAAUUUUCAACACUUUGGCUGGAAUCCUCUUCCUUGUAGCAGGAGUGGUCGCCUUAGACGGCUACAGUUUCUAUUUAGUAACAUACAAACUUCAGCUGGACAACUAUUCCACCAGAGACGACAUUGAAACACACGACGAUGAGGACAGCAGUAAAACACUUGACAGACAAGGCGCCUUCUUACUCGCAUCUGGCAUUCUCUGCAUUAUAAAUUCACUGUUUUAUUUCUUAGAUAUUGGCUGGAGCGUUUAUACAACUCUAUCGUCUCUAUGAACACUCUUAAAACCGGGGCCCACUGUAUUCUGUGCGGCCUUCGUAUAUUUUUUUUUACUGUAUCGCCCCGUGCGAUAAUAAAUUCACGUGAUACCAGAAAAUGUUUUGUUAAAUUGGCUGUCUCUUGUCGCUUAACUGUUCAGCUUAUUGAAGAAAAACGUCAAAUCAAGAACAAAGAUGGAUGAAUGCGAACCCAAACAACAUAAAUUAAACUGGCACUGAAGACAGCUCAAAUAAAUGCAGUAUCUCGCUAAUUGCUGAUAUUUCUGAUGAAAAUUAUCGAGUUUUUUGUGACGUUUGGCAACAGAUGACCUACAUUUUAAUAAAUUUCCAUGGCGUUUACAAAUUCACAAUCAGGGAGUCGAUACGAAAAGGUCUCGAAAAGUUUGUGAACCCCUGCUCUAAAAUUUUAGCUCAGAAUUUAAUACAGUAAAACCAAAAAUUCAUAUAAUAUUUCACAAUUUCGCUCCACGGAGUAAUGAAACUUCUCUCAUUUUGUAUGAAAUUUAAUGUGUCAAAAUAUGUACACUUGGCAACCAUGUCAAUUUAGCAAUUUACAUUUGUGUAAACUAACAAUUAGUAAAUAAGAUUUCUAAAAGAUCGCUUAUUUUAUUUUCUAAUUUGACGUAUUCGUUGUCUACCAAUGAACACGUCUGUCUGGGUCUUCGGAUCAAGUUCCACGCUACGCCGUUGUUGAUGUUCCCGGAGACAAACCUUCGACGUUAAAACGUGAUUAAGAGAUGAUAAGAAUUAGUAACCGGAAAGAGAACAGCAAGAGGAAAUGAGACUUGUUGAAGUGGAUUUGGAAGCUCAGUGAGUUGAAGAACCCGCGACAGAAAAGAAGAAACAAUAAUUCGUUACUGAAUUUUAUUUUAACUCCCCGAGUGCAAACUUCGAGUCACUAACUACGCGCAUUGCAUCCACUUGGUUCUGAACGCGUGUGAUCUGUGCCAAAUGUCAAGGAAUCUGCUAACUAACUUGAGACUAACAACCAAGAUUAUCGAACUGGUGGGUGUCAACAAAGCAGUGAAACUUUCUUCGACUUCAUGUAGUUAAAAAAAGCAAAUUACGAAUAGUUAAGUGAAAACAGUCGUAAAGAUUUCUUUUGGGAUGAAAAUGGCUGUCUUGUGCGUUGUUGCGCCGCGUAGUCUGGUAGACGUUCACCGACGUUUCAGAGGCCCUCGCUGCCUCCAUCACAACGGCGGGCACAACAACACAGAAGACAAUCAUCUUCAGACUCAGAGCUGUGAAAACCUCAGGUCUGGUGUUUUGUGAUGUUUCGACGUGUCGUCUGGAAAAUGUACGCUGACGUUUCACGGGUGUUCAAUUCCGCCAUUAUCAGGUGUUAGUUUGUAUAGUAAUGGGUCUCUAUAUAAAUGCACCAGUAACAACAGAAAGCAGAAAAAUAAUGCAGUUUCUCAAUCCAGUAGUUCUUGGCGGCUACAUCAUUGUCAUUAUGGGGCUUAUGAUAGGCCUCAUCAUCAACGACAGAGUUCCAAGAAAAGUGGACAUGCUGUACAUGACAGCAGGGUUCAUUCUGUUCAUCGCUGCUGGAAGCGUGCAGAUAUAUUUCCAUGGAACAAAGACUGCUCUUUCACAUCAUACCAAGGAUAAAGAUACACAGAAGACAUUGGAAUUCACAACUGCCGCCUUUACCAUCAUCACUGCUUUCUUAUUCCUGAUGGACGCUGCCCUUACAUACAUCGAUGAUUAUGAAAAUGGCUUACCACUUCAUCAUCACUGUUCUGUUAUUUAACAACUAUGUAUCAAAUAUCACUGCUACAAAUGGCAAGAAAACAACAGAGGGUGGUGGAAUGUAAGAACCCAUCUGUCUUCACUGCAGCACACCUGAUUCAAAACCUGGGCGACUUUGUUUGAAGUCAGAAAGCCAACAGCGAUGUUUGAAUGUUUAACACAGUUACAUGAAACUACCGAUUCAAAGUGCCACAUGUACAACUAAAGAUGUGGUAAUUUUGUGAAGGUAGAGAACUCACCUAUCUUUUCAAUAAAUUCAAUACUAAUCACAUAAAUUUAUGUUCUUAAAUUUUUAAUCUAAUCAGUGUGGAUGGAUGAUGCCGAUACACCCAUGUUUAGCUGUUACUCCCUUUCAAAAAUUUUCUCUACUGACAGAUUUAUGAUUUUCAUUUGUAAUUGACACUAAUUUUUGGUGGGGAAAAUAAUUAAGUUUUCAGUAUGAAAAACAUUAGGCUACCCACAAACACAGUAACUAAUACCACACUGAACAAAUUAGAAAAUUCACACUCAGAAUAACAAUUCUAGUGUGUUCACUUCAUUAUUAUCUCUAGAUUUUCAUCUUGUAAAUGCCGACUUUCGAUACUCUCCUACAAACAGGCGGGGCAAAUGAGCAAGGACAGAUCCUAAGUUAUGUGUUCAUAACAUAAAAAUCCUGUUUAAUUGUCUCAAAAACUGUAAGAAGAAGGGCAUUGGCACAAAAUGUGUUUAAUUUCUGUCUAACUUUUGUUUGAAACAUUAUUAGCUGCAAUAAAUAUUAACAUUCAACACAUGUGCAGAAAUACAAGCAGGUUUUCACGAAAAACACCCAAUUAAAACAAAUUAAAAUUUCUUAGUCCUUUCCAGCCUGUACAGCUCAUGCGUCCAACCUGAAUCCUGUCAAAAAAUCUGCCAUAUCAUGAAUGGAACAACUAUGUGACUUAAAACUUAGGUCAUACUGUCUUCAACUUAUAUAAAUGAAUUUUAAAUAAACUUACUAAAAAAACA